GUUCUGGGGGUUUAAAUGGCGAUUACUUCUUCCCUGCUCGGAAUACUUCGUACUGGUCGUGUCCUCCGUUCUUCCUCUUUUCCUACCAAUCCCAGCCUGAUCCGUAAGCUUAAUACACCAUGGACGAGUUCUCCAUCGGGUAAAAAGAUGUCAAGUUGGGCAGAGAGACUGUUCAGCUCAAAACCCAUAGGGAACAAUAUAACCGCAG